GGAAAGUUAACAUCUAAUCUGGAGGAAGACCCUGGAAGGAGCCAGUCCCUUCCCCCAGGCUGACCUGGUUUAAGCCUUUCUUCUGCCAAGGUCACCAGCACCCCAGAUGGGUGAGAGAUGUGAUCACUGGUUUCGUGGCCUGACCAAGGACCUCCAAGAAGGUAUCUUUCCCAUCUUGGCCCACUGAGGAGGAAAUCCUAGAAGGGAUGACUGAAGCUUGGGACUAACACAUUGGUGGAUCUGUGCUACCCUCUGCUGGCCACAGACGGUAUGACAGCCAAGACAGGGCAAGGCUUCCAGCAGCGAUGGAUGGAUUCACCGCAGAAGCGACAUUUCUGGACUGUUGUCACCUUCAGUGGAGGUAUUGUGCAGUCACUGGGGAUAUUCAGAACCCAGGUAAUUGAGAAGGUUUCCCCAGGGAUCUCUUCUCUCCCCUUCACCAUUACUCCGUAGGAGCCUCCUUAAAAACGGAAAACGAGGAGCCGAGGAGCCGGGCGAGGUGGCUCAUACCUGUAAUCCCAGCACUUUGGGAGGCCAAGGCGGGCAGAUCACGAGGUCAGGAGAUCGAGACCAUCCUGUCUAACACGGUGAAACCUCGUCUCUACUAAAAAUACCAAAAAAAUUAUCCAGGCAUGGUGGCACGCGCCUGUAGUCCCAGCUACUCAGGAAGCUGAGGCAGGAGAAUCGCUUGAACCCAGGAGGCGGAGGAGGUUGCAGUGAGCUGAGAUGGCGCCACUGAGCUCCAGCCUGGGCGACAGAGCCAGACUCCGUCUCAAAAAAAAAGGGAAAAAGGGGCCGGGCGCGGUGGCUCACGCCUAUAAUCCUAGCACUUUGGGAGGCGGAGGCGGGCAGAUCAUGAGGUCAGGGGUUUGAGACCAGCGUGGCCAAUAUGGUGAAACCCCAUCUGUACUAAAAAUACAAAAAAUUAGCCGGGUGUGGUGACGCGUGCCUGUAAUCCUAGCUACUCAGGAGGCUGAGGCAGGAGAAUCGCUUGAACCCAGGAGGCGGAGGUUGCAGUGAGCCGAGAUGGCGCCAUUGCACUCGCACCUGGGCGACAGAGCAAGACUCCCUCUCCAGGG